AACUAAUCUUUUUUCCUCUACUUCCUUUCACAUCAAUCCCUUAUUUUCUCUCUCCUAUUUUCGGAGGCAUGUCAGGAACCUUCUCGGUUCUUUAUCUCUAUUACAGUUACUCGUUCGCCUCCAUUUCUUCUCUCUUUCUCGGCUCUCUACUUCCAGAUUAGGGGAAAAUGUAUUCUUGCUUCACCUAUCUUAAUUCAUUCGCCAUCCCGACAAAUUUCCCCCGGCACACCUCAGGAGCAACCUGCGCCUGUACCACGAACAACUUUAGGGGGAAUUUCAAAGGCAGAAAAUACGCCAUUUUUUAACAAUCGAAAGCUGAAAAUGGGAUUCAUAUCAGAAUGUGAAGUACUUGUGUGGACACCGUUUCCUCAAAGGUAAACUACGGGAUAUUGAUCAUGUUCUUGCUGGUUUGCCUUUUGCUCUUGGUAAUUUACUUGCCAUUGUUGAUAUUAUAAUUUAAAAUUUAAUUGUUAUAUAUAUGAAUGGUUGUGCACUGUGAUUGUUUGCUUUUAAACAAAAUACCAUUUGUUUAUUAUAAAACAUGAUUGGAGAUGUGUAGAUGUUUCUUAAGCUAAUGAUAGUCAAGUCUGGUAUCUAUACACACUUCAUAGCAAGCACAUUUUUAGGAUAAAUGGUUAUACCAACUCAUUUUUACAUGUAUGCCUAAUAAUCAUUUUGAGGAUCUGGUGACUUUCUUCUUUUGGACUAGAAUAUUCAAUUAUAUCAUCUAUGAAUAUGGCCUUGAACACAUUAUUAUAAUUGACAUUGACUAUGUGUGAUCAGGUGUGGGUAGUUUAGUAGACUUAUGUCUUGAGUUAAAUUAGGGUUUGAUAUGAAUAAGGUCCUUUUAUGCUCUCUUGCCUACCAUUUUAGUAUGUUUCUAAAUGUUGAAUUUGUCUAGUAACUGAAGAACAAGGAUAACUCCUAUUUGCAUAGCGCACCAACUAAUAUUCAGGGUUCCCUUGGUUCUGUUAGCCAACUUUUUAUAUGCAUCCGGAUUCUUGUUGACUAUAGCAUCCAAACAGGUACAAUUGUUGAUGAUUUUCAAAUGUUUUUUAGUCGAUUUAUUUCCUUGGUUUGUUUUAUUGGUAAUUUAUUUAUUGGGUUUUAUGAUAUUUGUUAUUAUAGACAAUAGCUUCAGUCUUACCUAAUUUGCAAACCCAAUUAAAGAGAGAAAUAGGCAAUUUAAGAACCCCACCACUACAAAAACAGGCAAAGAAACCCGUCCAAAUCUACGUUAGAGACCACUAUUGGAAGGGUCUUUAUCGUUGGAGUUUGUUUGAUAAUGAGACUCGUCCAAAUGAAGUGGUAUGUUUGAAAAAAGAAGAUACUCGUUAAUUCAGAGACGGGGUAUGUUAUGUUGAUAAAAUGAAUUAAAACUAAAUAUUGAAAAAGACCCAUGUUUGUUAAAUGAAAAAGACCCGUCAUUAGAGAAAUUUGGUCUGUAUGUAAAAUAUAAGAGACACCUAAUCAAAGAAAGGGAGUCUCUACGUACGUAUUUGGAUUUUAAAAAACAAAAUUGGUUUGGAGCGUAUUUUUUUGUUAUUUCGAAUUUAAGUUUUAAAUUUUAUGCUCGAUUAAAAUUGGCAGAAUUAUAAAUAAAUUAAACUCAACCGAUGUGAGAAUUUCAUAAAAAAAAUAAAAAUUAUACGAAUCAUUAACGAAUUAAAACUUCAAUUACAAACUAAUUGAAAUUUACAAGUAUAAACUAACUCAUAUCAAAAUUAAAAAGUAAAGCAUGGACUAAUAAUUUUUUUGUGGAGUUUAAUAUGUCGGUUUGUAAUCCUCAUUCCUCAAAGCUCGAUAAAUCCAAACUUAUCAUUGUAAUCUAUAAUGUAAGUUUAUUUAAAUGUCUGUACAUGCAUACAGUGAAAAAAAUGCAACCGGAUUCUACAGUACAUGCAUACCAAAUUCAUCUUACAGAACAUUUUUAUUUCCAAGGUGUGUACAUCAUAAAAUAAAAAGAAUCACUCAAUUAUGAAAAUAACUAAGCAAAAAAAUGUAAAUUAAAAUGCAUAAUCACUUCACGCUAUCAAAUUGAGCCCCAUUCUCACUUUUUCCCAUCUUAAUUAAUCUUGAUGUAUCAAUAAUUCAACCAAAGAAAUUCAAUUAAAAAAAAUUCCUAAAUUCCUAAAAGGGCAAGAGAGAAAAAUUAAAUCAUAGAAUAGGGUUAUUAGUGAAACAAAUCACACAAAUCUGGUGAAAAAACGAUUUAAACUAAUAAUUUAUUAAAGAAAAUUAAAAUCAAACUCUAGAUUUCCUAUAACCAAAUUCCUCUUCACCAUUAAAAGCUUAAUCUAAAAUUUUACUUUAACAAAAAAAUUGUAAUUAACCAAAAAAAAGUAUGAAUUUCAGUGAAUGAACUAGCAAUUAAAUUAAAAAAAAAUAAUAAAAUUAAAGAGUAGUUGUGCAGUCUACUGGUCGUCUGUUAAAUCGGUGUUGACAUAAUCGAUUUAGAUCUAAGUCAACUCAAAUUUUCUAGACUAGAUGCUGCUAUUGCCGGGAUGACAGCAACAACCAAACCGCGUUUUCCCUUUCUUAAAUGUUCGGACCUUUUCUCAAAAAAUUCCGGAUCUCGAUUCAUUUCGGGAGUUGAGGGGAAACACUCUCCAGCAAAAGUAGGUUACAAUGAUAAAGAAAUUGAAAUGUUUUUAGUUGAAAUUGGUAAUGUGAUCGAAUAAUGAAGAUGAUUAAUAUAUGGACUUUAAAGAAGAGGGGUGUUGAUAACUAGGAAAUCAUCUAGAAAAUGGAAGAUACAAAUGGCUAAGGGAGUUGAGGAAAUAAAGUCUCGAAAUAAAGCUAUGAUAUACAUGAAUUAAAGAUGGUAUGUAAGAGACUUGUUUAGUCUGGAAACGAGUCUCUUAUCUGUCUAUUGUUUUUUCUUAAAGAAAGUACUAGACCCUUGUGCAUUUUAGAGACCCAUUAGGUUUAGUAACAGGUCUCUUAUAUCUCCUCUAAUUAGGUCUUAUUGCACAUAAGAGACCCGUUAUCUCUAAUAUUUAAUCUCGUACAUCUAACAGACCUAUUGUUAAGAUAAUGGGUCUUUUAUUAGGGGUUCUUUUUCCAGAUUUUGUAGUAUUGUCCAUUAGUGUACGUGUUUGAACUUUUUGUGGAAUUGAAAGCGGAUUUAAUGGCAGAAAGUUUUAUGCGACUACCAUGGUUGAAAAUCUUCAUCGUUGGCUCCACUCAGGCCUCAAGAUGCAGCGAGAUGUUGAAGAUAUGUGUGAGGGUGAUUGGGUUUUUCACCAAUUAAUUGUAAGGAUACCCAAUCCUUGGUAUAAACCUUCAUUGAGUUUGACGAAUAUUAUGAAGCAGUCCAGGUAAGUUCUUUAUCCUCCUUUUCAAUGAAUUCAUGGCUUCCUUUAAAAUUUGUACUUGUAGUUUCACCUAUUACUCACGACAUAAAUAAAUCCUAUUAUAGUCUGCGGUUGAUUUUUAUCAAUUACUCUUCUAUUAUAAGAUUAUGGUUUAAUAUAAAGUUUCAUCCUUUCUUUAGAUUUUCUUUCAUGGCUUCAACUUGUGCUUCCCAUAUGUUUAAUUAUAUGGGUCAUUUUUCCAGGGGGUUAUCCUUGGCUCCGUUUUUCAUAUUAAAUGUCUCUUUUUGUUGGGAAAAGACUUUGUGCUCUGCAUUUAUAUGGCUUAACUUGAGAUUUGUUCAUGCUGUCAUUUUGUGGAUGUACUAUUGUUUUUGUUAUUUAUUGAGAAAAAGUGGUUUCACUGAUAAUCUCAAUUUCUUGAUGGACUAUAUUUGGUGUUCGUUCUAUGGGUUAUUUUUGUUUCUAAUCUUGUGUUACAUGAAAAGCUAUUGUCUCCUUAUUCAUAGUAGUUACACUAUGUCCAUGAAGUUUUGUAUCCUUGUUUAUUGGGAUAUGUUUACUCUUGGUUUUUGCUACUACCUUACGCAUCUUUUAGCUAGUUAUAGUCCAUUGCAUAGUUUAUGUGAAAUUCCUACUGAAAAUCCUUUUAUCUAUUGUUGUAUUAGAGAAUUAUAUUACACAUGUGGGUGGAUUUGUCUUUGUUCUCGUACCUCCUUAAUUUUAAGUCAGUGCUUUUGUUUGUACUUGGUGUUGAUUCACAACUUGUGGAUAUGCUUAUUAUUAAUCUCCUAGAGUCUUUAUAGUUUAGCCAAUAUUGGACUCUUUCUUCAUUGUUACCUUGUUAGCUAUUCUAAUGUUUUUCAAUGUUUGUGACUAUACUUAAUCCUUUAUUUUAGACAUUUACACAUUCUAAAGUUAGUUUGGUGUACUGUGUGUUUUUCAUUUUUUCUUAUUAAUCUAUUUGUUUUGCUUAUUUUUCUUCUUUUGAGCCGGAUGGUUUGUCAUCCGCGAUGGAAUCCGGAUGUUUGAUAUCCUCUAUGAAAAUAUUUUUAUGAUCUUAGUAGCUCGAUUUUUUUACUGGCUACCUAGAUUUUGAGUCUUAUUUAGUCUAUAAAAUGGAUUUCGAAUAUAAUUCUUUGGUUUAUAUUUUCAUUUGCUCAAUUGGCUCUUGCUCUUGGAUUGGGGUUUUUAGUUACUCUAUUGAACACCACUCUUUUAAAGACUUUGCACCAGAUACUUAUAGCUAUACAAAUUGGGAGAAUUCAUGUCCUUUGUUGCUUUCAAAGAAACUUUGGUGGAUAAUGCUCAUUAUUGUAAAAUCAUUCCAUCUAAUCUCGAGCUCAAUAGUAGAAACUAUUUUCAACCUACAAAUUUCUACUUUCUCAUUUAUGUAUAUUUCUUCAUGUAUUGACAUUUAUAUGUUGUAUAUUUGUAUCAACUCUCUAAAAGAUAUUAACAGGGUCCUUAGACCUUGCUUGAACCGGGUGCUUGACACUCGCUAUGACCAUCA